GCGGGCUCUGCUUAUAGGAUCCAGUUCUUAGGCUCCACAGCGACGGCCAUGAACAAGACUAUUUGGAAGGUUUGGGCACCUUCCAAGGUCAAGCUCUCCUCCUGGCUAGCGAUUCAAAACAGGAUAUGGACGGCGGAUAGAUUGGAGAAGCGAGGUUGGGAGAAUUGCGGCUUGUGCACCCUCUACUGAAGGGCAAACGAGAUGUCCGCGCACCUCUUCUUUCGGUGCAGGUUCACCUUGCGCAUAUGGAGAUGGGUAAAGGAGUGGCUUGGCCUAGGGGCUCUCGAGAUCCAUCAAUGGCAGGCGGAGCGCGGCAUCAAGCAUUGGUGGACAAACAUGUCGAAGCCCAAUACGCCGAACCGGAAGGCCAUGGCUUCCUUUACUAUCACUAUUGUUUACUAUGCUUGUCGGUUGGGCCAUUUGGAACGAGAUAAACGCUAG
rnacentral:rRNA from 1 species